CCCUUUAUAGUUAGUGGUAAAAUCUGCCGUUGCCAUUCAGGAAUCGGCAGGCCCCGGGUUCGAUUCCCGGCGGACGCA